AUUGAACGCUGGCGGCAGGCCUAACACAUGCAAGUCGAACGAGUGGCGGACGGGUGAGAAAUGACUGGGAAACUGCCUGCUGGAGGGGGAUAACUACUGGAAACGGUUGCUAAUACCGCAUACCAUCAGAUGUGCCCAGAUGGGAUUAGCUUGUUGGUGGGGUAACGGCUCACCAAGGCGACGAUACCUAGCUGGUCUGAGAGGAUGACCAGCCACACUGGAACUUAGACAAGGUCCAGACUCCUACGGCAGGCAGCAGUGGGGAAUAUUGCACAAUGGGCGCAAGCCUGAUGCAGCCAUGCCUCGUGUAUGAAGAAGGCCUUCGGGUUGUAAAGUACUUUCAGCGGGUAGGCGUUACCCGCAGAAGAAGCACCGGCUAACUCCGGGCCAGCAGCCGCGGUAAUUC
rnacentral:rRNA from 1 species